UCUCCUUCUUUCUUCUUUUCUUUCUUUUUGCAUCAUUUUAGGCUGCUGAAAAUGCAAAAAAUAUUUCACUACAAUGAAGUAAAAGAAACAACUAAAGGAGGGAAGAGAAGAGGUAAAAGUGAGCUGGCUGCCUUGUUCCUCAUGUGGCAAAACUUGGGAAGACACCUGGGAGCCUGCCAGCAACUUUAUAGGCUCCAUUUAAUGUUUUUGUUUCUGUGUCUUUAAGACACCUGU